CCUGUUUCUUCUUUGUGCUGGUGUUUGUGUUGCUACUUUUGGUACUCUUUGGGGCUGCUAUUUUUGUGUUCUUUUUUGUGCCCGCCACUAUGAGCAAUGGAAAGAGAGGCGGGAACAAAGCAGGAACAAAGAAGCAAGGAGAGCAGAGCCAUGGUACAUAAACACACCAUCCUACGUAAACAUAGGAGGAGGAGGUGGAGAAAGACCACAAGAAUCGGGAGGAAGAGCUGGAUCGGCACGAGGACGUGGUCCUCCUCCAGAAGCUGGCGGACCACAGGGAGGUGGAAGGACAGGAGGUGUGCGUUUGGGGUUUCCUUCGUCCACACCACAAGGAGCAGGACAUGGAGGACAACAAGGAGGAGGCAGAGGACUAAGAAGAGCAAGAGGUAGAGGACAACAAGGAGGAGGAGCAGGAGUUGGAGGACCUUGCUGUGGGAAAUACAGCGGAGGCCUCCUUAACAAUGAUGCGUCUUCUCUCUGCAGG